rnacentral:lncRNA from 1 species
AUCAAUUCAACAUAACGGAAAAAACAGUAAUGAAUCCUAGAAAUACAUUCAAUGAACACUCAAUCCGCAUAGUUAUUUCCAUAGAGUGAUCUUCUUAGGCUGCUAGAUGACGUGAUGCAAUUUUCUAUAUCUUGUGCCAAUAGAAGUAACAAUUGAUAAGUAACCAAAACUCAAUCAUGAUUGAUACACAGGAUGGUAGUAACUAAUAGGUAUAACGUAACUACAUUUUCACAAAUGGUGAAAUUUUCUUUAAUACAACUAAAUAUAUUAGACUCUCUUUGCUCUCAUAAUUGCACACAUAGCACAUGAAAAUCAAAGCCUUCAAUAAACAAACCAAACCAAAAUAGGAGAAAGGUGAUAUAGUUAUCCUUUGAGUUAAAACGCAAUGAGACUCGAGAAACUUAUGCACACUGUGCAGCCUUGCUCCACUUGCAAUAUCCGAGCUGCAUACGCAGCAUUAUCUGCAGAUUGGACCAAGCUUCAAUUAACACUCAAUUUCCAUUCGUACAACAUGUUCUCAUCCACACAUGAUUUAUGGUGUCCCUAGUUUACAGAUAAAAAACUAAUUAUCAAGAGAACAAUCACUCAAGCAAACCCCAAAUCAAUUAAAAGAUUAUCCACAUAUAGGUAAUUGAAAAGAGAAAUCGAUUAUGAUCCUCUUCGCAAUCAAUCCCCAAAACUGAUAUCACUUAACAAUUAAUAAAUAUUGAGACUAAUAAUCAAUAGAUAACACCAUUUCCAACAAUUGAUUUUUUCAGUGACGCAUGUUAUCGAACAGUCUGUGCGCAUCAAAUCAUCAUAUUCUAUUUGAGAGAUUUGAGGGUUAGACUACUCCCCUAAUUACAGCAAGAAGAGAGCGAUCCAUGGCUUGAGCUAGUUGAGAGAGAAGUAAUACAAUUACCUAAGAAAUAUUGUUAUCAUCAAUAGUUCUGAGGCAUUCAAUGAAUUUUCUUGCUGAUUUAUUCAAGUUCUUCAUUCCUGCACCAUAAUAGUUUAAGCUAGUGAUGAAUAUAAACUCGCAAUAAGACAAACAUAUAUUCCUUUUACAGUUUCCAAAGAUCGACGAAAAUAACAAUUGGACCAGUCACAAGGUCACAUAUAUCUCACUUAAUUUAAUAGUUAGCCAACAUACCAUACUCCUUGCACAUCCAGAAUAGUUGUGCUUGUAUCAAUGCACUUUUUGGCUACCCCUGUAUAACCUGAGUAAGGAUAGUAAAGUGGUAGAUCAAACAAGCAAAAGAUUACCUUCUAUUAGAAUGUUGUAUGCCCCUUUAUAACCAGAUCCGUUAAGGUAAAAAAUUAAAUCUCACAAAAACAUCCAUAUCAUUUUGAUCUCACAUAAUUUUGUCGGGUAUAAAAAGAGAAAAUCCAAGACAAAAUGCAAAAGCAACAAAAUGGAAGAUGACAGACUAACAGAAUAUAUCCUAAGGAAAUUAAGAACCAAA